CGGCAAGAAGACACAAGAACACAGGCAGAGGUCUACUUCGUUGAUUGGGAGACAUUCAUUACAUUUUAUCGCCACCCGUGCAACGUUCACCAGCCAAGGCCUUCCAAAUGCUCACCGAAACGCGAUCCCUACAGGCUUGUAUGAAUAUUGGAGCUCCUUGUAGGGCUUGGAAAUCAUCUAGAACUUGGUCUAUGAUGGUAGACAAUAAAGGCGAAAUAUGCAGCUUUUCAAAGCUAGAGCUUGUUUCAAAAGCCCAACUGCGUAUAGUCAAACAGGAUCAAGGAUAAUGUUUCUGAAUCGUAUAUUUCGGGUACGAUCGAUAUCCAGCCGGCAAAGCAAAGCCAAGAAUCCAGGAGAAACCAAUAGAUUUUCGUCGUUGGAAGCCCGUGCAGUCCAAACAGGUCACCGUUACGAAAUUCGGGAAAUCUAAAACCACAAGAGCCUUCUUCCUAUUUAUUACGCUGUACAAUUGGAAUACUGUAGUAUACAUUGUAACCGCAAACGCCAGCUUGCACAUCGAUCGUCCUAGUUCCGUACACUUCGUCCAUUAGCCAUGGCUUAGAACAGCCAAUAGAUGGACACAUGAAGUGUGUGCGCGGACCAAAUUGUAACGCGAUACUUAAACUUGGAGAGGGUUGAUACGAUGUUGCGAAGGUUGGAAAAGCCCUGCGUGAACUACAUGAAACUGCGCAUGAUGGCAACGUAUGUGUUGAACCAGGACUACUGCAUAUUUUAAAGACUCUGGGCUGGCGGUACCAUCGCACCGAAUGGGUGUCGUCAGACGUCGUGUCUGGAGCCUAAAAUAAAAGCCUCUACAGACGCUCACAGUCGAGCUAAAAUAAAAGAGACCGAAGAAAGAGAUGAACCAAAAGAGUGAGCGAGCCCCUCCGUCUCUCGAAGAGGAGAGCCUCACAAAUUGUGAGAGAAAGAAAGAGAGAGGAGACUGGUGAUAUUUUCCCUUUUUUUUUUUAGCAGGAUGGAAAGAAUUUAAGAAACCGGCAGAGAGAGCAAAGAAAGUCUUGACUCAUCGUGACCUUCUCUCGGAGAGAUCUGACGUCGUUUCUUGGUCAAAACUUUCUCUGUUGGUCUCGAAAUUAAAGUCGGCAGACAGGAUCUUUUCUUCUCUUCUUUCGAUUCUCUUCUUUCUAUUGGAUUUCAUUUUGUUUCGUGUCUGAUUUAGGGCAAGGGGCCGUCUCAUGUCAAACACGAGCGGCUGCUUUCGAUUUCGUCUGUCCCUAUACCGGAACGGCAAAGUUUACCUGCAACACGAAUGUUGCACGAAUCGAAUCAACGACUUUCAUUUGAUCAGAUACCAAUGGCAACAAUAAAAAAUAAAGUAAAGAAAAAAGGCGAAUGAAUGAAACCGUUCACUCCCUUCCCAUGAAGUCACGCCAUGCAUAGGAUAAAUCCUAAUUUCAAUGUUCAGACCCUAAUCAAAACCUCGUCGGCCGUCUGGUAGACAAGUGAAAGAAUGUCAGCCGGAUAUAAUUCAUUCCAUGGUGAAGGACCUUCUUGGAUAGAUUCACGCCUGUAUUCUUCACAAUGCACGAUUGGCAUCAAGGUCGUCAAACGACAUAAAGCUGCGGUCAAGUUAGUUUCUUUCUCAUCCGGUCUGACUGCUUUCUGAAAACGAAAAAAAAUAAAUAAAAAAGAGAAGACAAUAAGAACAUUCUCUCGGGAAUUGUCUCCCUGCCGACAAGGUGUACAGCCAGAACCAAAAACUGCAACUAUAUGCUCUGAGUUAUUGGUUCCCUGGAAGAAAAAGAAAACAUGACUAAUUCUCACUGGUGAGUCAGACUACUUACGCCAACAAUAAUCCCACUCGAAAUUAAAAAAAAAAAAAAAAAAAAAAGGGCGUCGAACCUUUGUCGCGAUGAGCUUGAAAAAUUAAACCUGUCGCCAGUCCAAGUUAUUCCACGCAUAAUAAACAAAUAUAAUUUGAAACUUGACAAACUUUCGACCCUGAGCGGCCAGGAAUAAAUAGAUCAUCGACCAACCUUAACCCAGUUUUUAUCUGAAUCGGGAGCGGAUCACAUGACGUCGUUCGGCUAAUCGAUGAAGUGCGUAUCACCUCUUUCCUGCAACCAACCAACUGGAUAUGUCUCUCUUGGUGCGUUUAUAUGCAGUAUUCAUCAAAAAUAAAAAUUCAGGUGAUUCUUA